AGAGUUUGAUCCUGGCUCAGGAUGAACGCUAGCUACAGGCUUAACACAUGCAAGUCGAGGGGCAGCAUGUCGGUUGCUUGCAACCGAUGAUGGCGACCGGCGCACGGGUGAGUAACGCGUAUCCAACCUACCCUUGUCCAUCGGAUAACCCGUCGAAAGGCGGCCUAACACGAUAUGCGGUUCACAGCAGGCAUCUAACGUGAACGAAAUGUGAAGGAGAAGGAUGGGGAUGCGUCUGAUUAGCUUGUUGGCGGGGUAACGGCCCACCAAGGCAACGAUCAGUAGGGGUUCUGAGAGGAAGGUCCCCCACAUUGGAACUGAGACACGGUCCAAACUCCUACGGGAGGCAGCAGUGAGGAAUAUUGGUCAAUGGACGAGAGUCUGAACCAGCCAAGUAGCGUGCAGGAUGACGGCCCUAUGGGUUGUAAACUGCUUUUAUAGGGGGAUAAAGUGUGCCACGUGUGGCAUAUUGCAGGUACCCUAUGAAUAAGGACCGGCUAAUUCCGUGCCAGCAGCCGCGGUAAUACGGAAGGUCCGGGCGUUAUCCGGAUUUAUUGGGUUUAAAGGGAGCGUAGGCCGUUUGGUAAGCGUGUUGUGAAAUGUCGGGGCUCAACCUGGGCAUUGCAGCGCGAACUGCCAGACUUGAGUGCGCAGGAAGUAGGCGGAAUUCGUCGUGUAGCGGUGAAAUGCUUAGAUAUGACGAAGAACUCCGAUUGCGAAGGCAGCCUGCUGUAGCGCAACUGACGCUGAAGCUCGAAAGCGUGGGUAUCGAACAGGAUUAGAUACCCUGGUAGUCCACGCGGUAAACGAUGGAUGCUCGCUGUUUGCGUCUGACGUAAGCGGCCAAGCGAAAGC
rnacentral:rRNA from 1 species